AAGCCUUUGGGUUUGUCCCAAAAAAACGGAACAAAGCACAAUACCGAAACCUCCAAUUAUUUUUUUUUUUUUCUCCCAGCGCAGAAAUCCUGCUCUCCAGCCAGCGGCGAGGCCUCGCUGCUCAAACUUUGUGCCGGCAGCAGGCAGCGAGGGGAGCAGCUGCGAGGUUUCGCCCGCCCCCUCCCCAACUUUCGGGCACCCCAAAACUUGCCGCAACCCCCCCCAAAAUCUCAGCCUCCCCCAGCGCUUUGCCGACACCGCUCGCUACCCACACGGACAGCGGGAUGCUCCUCUCAAAGAGGGGCUGCGUGGCUUAAUUACCCCCAAAAUAAUCCUUCCCUCACCCCCCAGCACCGCGCCACCCUCCCCGCACCCUUCCCAAAGCCACAGGUGCCCGGAGCAUCCCCCGAGGGGGCAGCAGCUCCUCGGGGCUGGGCUCCGAGCUGCGGCCCUGAGGUGGGGGUGACAGCUCGGGGGGGACAAGGAGAAGCCCCCCCAGGUUGUCCCGGGGUUUAUUUUUACCUGCUCGGUACCCGGUGCCCGGUGCACGAUCGCGCUCCGCCGCCCGCUGCGCUCCGCGUCCCCAAGCGCCGCCCCGACGGGGCGGGCAGCGGCCGCGCCUGCGCUGGGGCCCCGGGAUCGGGCGGCGGGGAACUGGGAAAAGAGCCUUUUUUUUACUGGGAUGGACUGGUCCCGAGCUGGGCUUGCCGGCUGGUAGCUGGGGGUUUGGGGAAGGGGGUGAGGGUGAAGCCGGGAAUGGGAAGGGGGAGCGGGGAUGGGCGCUGGGGGCGCGCACAGGGUGCGGGUCCCGAGGGGUUGGGUGACCCCGCUGUAGGGUCAGCCAGGGACGGGGCGGUGUGGGAUUGGUGUAGCUGUCCCCUAAAAGUGAGAGAUCAUCCUGAAGGAGCCGCGUUUAUCAGCCCCGGAGCCCCUGCUCGGUUUUGCAAGAGGGAAACUGAGGCAGUGAGGAGGGAGCUUGGAGUUUGGUGGGGGGGUUUUGGUGAUCCCCCUGUGCCAUGGGGAUCGGGCAGCCCCCCCAGCUGUGACCCCAUGGAAAACAUUCAUAAGACUAACCCAAAAAUGGGCAAAAUGAGUACAUCCCAUCCCAAAUCUUGCCCCCAUUGGAGGAAAGGAGCUGGGGGCUUUAUGGGUUUGUCCUGGUGGGCUCCAAGCUGGCACGGGCACGCUUGUGGGGUGAGCUGUAACUUGGGACAAAAAGGGGAGACCCCUUCAAGACAACACUUAUAA
rnacentral:lncRNA from 1 species